rnacentral:rRNA from 1 species
GCGAAAACUUUACAAUGCUGGCAACAGCGAUAAGGGAACCUCGAGUGCCAGGUUACAAAUCUGGCUGUCGAGAUGCCUAAAAAGCAUUUCAUAGCAAGGGCCGGGCAAGACCGGUGCCAGCCGCCGCGGUAACACCGGCGGCUCGAGUGGUAACCGUUAUUAUUGGGUCUAAAGGGUCUGUAGCCGGCCGGAUACGUCUCUUGAGAAAUCUGGCAGCUUAACUGUCAGGCUUUCAGGAGAUACUGUCUGGCUCGAGGCCGGGAGAGGUGAGAGGUACUUCAGGGGUAGGGGUGAAAUCUUGUAAUCCUUGAAGGACCACCAGUGGCGAAGGCGUCUCACCAGAACGGACCUGACGGCAAGGGAUGAAAGCUAGGGGCACGAACC